GAAAUAUCAGAAGAGCAUAAUGCUAUAAUCCGUAUAAUCACAGACGGCAAACAAACAUGCAGAUAGAAAGACAAAUAUGUAAACACGACAAGCGGUCUCCAAGUGAGUGAAAUCACAAUUCCAGUCAACACCACAAAUCCAAAGGUAGAUAUGAUGCCACUGCAGACGCCAACGACCAGUGCACUGUAGGGCGAGACCAUGAUCUCAGCCGCUGUACCCAUGGCGACACCUCCAGCCAGGGUGGCAUUCUGGAUAUGAACCUAGAUUGCAGACAGAAGACAGAUCACAUACCUUAUCAAGACUCAGUAGCAGAACAACAGAGAGGCUGGAGACGGCAAAGGUGGUGAGGACACUGGCCGCCAGACUCAGGUACGUGUUAAUAACUGCACGGUGCUGCCCAUCUCCAUGGUUCCCAAUGGCAGAGUUGAAACUGGGCCAGUGAACCCAGAGGAAGAGUGUACCUGUGAAGAGAAUGGUGGUGUUUAUUCAAUUUCAACACAUUUUUUUUAGCAGGUAUUGUGUUCUCAAAUACAUUAUAGCAUUAAGAUCAUCUUCAGAGUCUGGGUGUUUUAUUUUAAACUCUGUUACAAUCUUAUUGUGAAUUUGUUGUUGCAACACUUUUUAUAGACUUCUGUAACUCACCAAUCAUGGCAAAGACAUCCGAGUGGUAAGAGGAACCUCGCAGACGUUUGCUCUGAUGUAAAUUUGGGCGAUAGAGAAUCCAUGAUAUUGUCAGACCAUAAUAUCCUCCAAAUGUGUGGAUGACCAUGGAGCCACCAGUGUCUUUAGCCUGUACAAGUGACAGACAAACAGAAUUAGCACUGGACAUCUCUAGAGGAGAUAUCAGCAAAUAACUUGUUAUUUUCUAUCAUACAAUAACAAAUUACUCUCAUUGCAAUGUUAGAGUGGUUGAUCAGCUGCACCUACAUGAAUGAGGUUGAGGAUGACGUACUCUUCCACUGCAAACAAACUGACGCCACACAGUGUCAUCACCAUGAGCUGUAUAGGACUGACUUUUCCCAGGCAAGCUCCAAAUGCGAUUAGGCACCCAGCCACACAGAAGUCAGCAUUGAUGAGACUGGAAAUUGAAUAAUCCUAAUUAUAGAGAUCUGUGGAAUCCAGUGAGUGGAACCAGCCCUGCAUCAGCAGAGCCCACUGCAGGCCAAAGGCAGAGAUGAGGAAGUUAAAGCCCAC